UCUCUAUCACACACACACACACACACCUCUACAUCACCGUCUCUUUCUCUAUUUCUCUCUGCUUCUCCUUCUCAAAAAAAAAAAUCUGUGCCCAGAUCAAGAAUGAGGGAGGAAAUGAGGGACCAAUUGGUGUACCGUGAGGGGGAAGAGGAGGCGGAGAAGGAGAAGGACCCGCAACGCUGUCGUAUUGGGUUUCCUCAUAAGAGUGUUGUCGUCGUGGGUUAUGCUCUUACGUCUAAGAAGACCAAGAGCUUCUUGCAGCCCAAGCUUGAAGGUUUAGCUAGGAACAAGGGGAUAUUAUUUGUUGCUAUUGAUCAUAACAGGCCUCUUUCGGAUCAAGGCCCUUUUGACAUUGUGUUGCAUAAGCUCUCGGGAAGAGAGUGGCGCCAGAUUCUUGAGGACUAUAGGAAAACACAUCCAGAAGUUACUGUUCUUGAUCCUCCUGAUGCGAUACAACCUUUACAUAAUCGUCAGUCCAUGCUCCAGGCUGUUGCUGAUAUGGACUUGUCUGAUUCCUAUGGCAAAGUUGGUGUUCCAAGACAAUUGGUUAUCAAGAGAGAUGCAUCAUCCAUCCCUGAUGCUGUUACAGAUAGUGGUCUGAAACUACCUCUUGUUGCUAAGCCACUGGUGAAUGAUGGAAGUGUAAAAUCCCAUCAACUAUCACUUGCCUAUGAUCGAUACUCCCUCCAAAAGCUUGAACCCCCUCUUGUUCUUCAGGAGUUUGUAAACCAUGGAGGUGUUCUUUUUAAAGUAUAUAUCGUAGGUGAAGCUAUAAAAGUGGUCAGACGUUUCUCUUUACCUGAUGUCAGUAAAAGAGAGCUUUCUGAAACCGCGGGUGUGUAUCGUUUUCCGAGGGUUUCAUGUGCUGCAGCUUCAGCAGAUGAUGCAGAUCUGGACCCUAGCAUAGCUGAACUUCCUCCACGGCCAUUACUCGAGAGACUUGCUAAGGAACUUCGUCGUCGACUGGUAGGUCUUACUGUUCACUGUGUGGUUUUGGUCUGCGGUUAUUCAAUUUGGACAUGAUCCGAGAACAUGGAACUAGAGAUCGGUUUUAUGUCAUUGACAUUAACUACUUCCCUGGGUAUGGGAAAAUGCCCGAGUAUGAACACAUAUUUACGGACUUCCUAUUGAGCCUGGUAGAGGCAAAGUACAAAAAGAGAUCUGGCUGAAGGAACUUGAUAAACUCUGCUAGAGAUCGAGGUGUUAGUCUCCAGACUCUGAACACAUAGCAGACAGCACCUGAAUAAGAUUUGGCACGGCAAGAUUGCUUGCUUUGGUCCUACAUAUAGUGACAUGUGUGGGUCCCUGUGGAUGGCUGAAGGAGGAUGUUUGUCCAGACAUUCAAGUUGCUCAUAUAUUUGAUCUUCCUCCCCACAAGAAUGCAUCAUGUACAGAGUUCUCAUAAAGUCUUAACUUGGCUCUGUUUGUUAAUUCUUUUUUGCCUACUGCUCAAUGUUGAUUGGUGAUGUACGUAAGCGCAGUUACUGAUACAGAAUUUCAUAAUUUGCUGGGAUAUUUAUUAGGAUUUUUAGUUGGAUCUACAUGUUAAGGAAGCAUGCAAAAGUCAUAUUCCUGUUCAAGUCCUAUUCCACAUUUUUAUGCUUUAGUUGAAGAUGCUUUCCUUUU